AAAACUAGACACUACAGA
rnacentral:sRNA from 1 species